rnacentral:misc_RNA from 1 species
AUACGUCACUGCUUACACCUGGAAUUAUCAAUGAUGAAGGCCAGAUAGAUAUUAUGUAGUGAAACGAAACACACAGUUAACCUAUUUAGCAGAAUUAAAUUAAAAUUUUUGUAUUUUUCAUUAUAUUACAAUGGCUGAAAUAUCUGAAGUACAAAGUAAAGAUAUUGGACAAGCAGUAAUAACAGAACAGGAACGUGAAUUAGCUCAAAAUGCAUUAUUCGAAUUUCAAAAAGGUUCAUAUACAUCUUGUUUAAAUUAUUUAAAUAAAUUGGAAACUCUCAGGCCAAAGGAUCUUAAAGUAAUGCAUAAUAAGGUUGUGGUAGAGUACUAUAAAAGUGAUUUGAAAAAAACAGAAUUAAUGAGAAAAAGUUUGAAUGCAAUAUGUGGACAAAUGUCUACUACAGAUUUGGGUGAUGCUAUAGAUGAUGUUGAAAAAUGUGUCAUGAGAUAUAAUCAAGCAGUUUUGUUAUAUCAUACUGGGCAGUAUACUGCAGCGUUACAAAUUAUGAAUAGAUUGUUUGCUUAUAUCGAACCAUUGGAAGAAAGUUUAGCACACAAAGUUUGUUCGCUUCUAAUUGAAUUGCAUAUAAUAACGGAGCAACCUGAUGCAGCACUAUUACUGAUAAAUUAUAUUGAAAGUCAAUUUAUUUCAACGGAUAAUUCUAAGAUUGCAUCGGUAGAUAAAGAAGGCGUAAUGAAAGUUGUAAAAGAACAGAAGGAACAGAAGAAAGAUAGUAAUGAUAUAGUUACAGAUCUAUUUAAAAUAAAGCUAUUAAAAUAUAAAGCUAGAAUAUACCUUUUAACACAUCAAUUAAAAUUAUGUAAACGGGAAUGGAAAACAUUAGUUUCUUUAGGAACUCCAGUAAAUAUAUCAACGCUAUGCUUGAAAGCAAAUUUGGAAUAUUUAAAAGGAAAUCAUAAAAAGGCUAUAAAAUUGUUAAACUCCCUCGCUUCAGAAACUUCGGAUUUCAAAUCUUGUGGAAAAUUUUCUGCAGUCUUAUAUUAUAAUAACAUGGCGUGUAUACAUCUAGCCAUGGGUAAACCAAAUUUAGCAUGUUUUUAUUUACGACAAGCUUUAUACGAAAAUAAAACUGCUGUAGAAAGUGUGCAAGUAAAAGAUACUGAUCCUUUAUCUUCGCAACCAUUGUACACACUUGGUGGAAAUAAACAUUAUGAAUUAAUGUACAGUCUGGGUACAUCAUAUUUAUAUGCUGGUCAUGCAUCAAAAGCUUUUGACUGUUUUACAGAAGCUGCCCAAAGAUUACAUAAUAGUCCUAAACUUUGGUUAAGGAUGGCUGAAUGUUGUAUUUAUUGUCAUAAACCAACAAAUGAGAGUGAUUUUAAUAUACCUAAACGGCGUAGAGAUUUGGUUCAAAAAGUUAUAGGUUCUGGAAUACAUAGAAAAAUUAUAUUAACAUCAUCACUUUCAAAAGAUACAAAAUAUCACACAGAUGGUUUGUCUUACGCCAUGCCACAAACUACUUUAGAAUUUGCACUAUUAUGUUUGAAGAAUGCUUCAUUUUUAUUACCUAAUGUUAGUGAAUUGAAUUUAUCUAUGACAACAAUUCCAAAUCCUCAAACAGUUUCAUUAGCACUAACACCUGGACAUAAUCUAAAUAGUCAGAAUUCCACUUUGAUUUCUCAAGCAAUGAGGAUAGAAGCGUUGAAUUUAAAGAUCAAUGUCUUAGCUGCCAGCGCAUAUGUAUCUUUAUGUCUUGGAGAUUACGUUGUUGCAUUAGAACAUGCCAAAGCACUAUUAAGUCUGAAUAAAGUGCCUGGAGCAUAUAAAAUGCUUGGUAAUUUGUAUGCCGCUGAAAGUUUGAUUUUUAUGGAUAAAAUUAAUGAAGCAAUUGAAUACUUGAACCCAGAAACUAUACAAGAUUUAAAUACUUUCGUUUCUAUACCCGAAAUUCAGGAUAAGGAUAAAGACAAAAUUGAAGAAGUAGUAUUGAAACCUGUGAAAGCAUGGUAUCCAACAACUGUUGCUACAGGCGUUGCAAUUUUUCGUUAUAAUUUAGCAGUUGCUUAUGCUAUACGUGGUGAACUCGAUAAAUCUGGUGAAACAUUAAAACAGGUUUGGUUGUCAAAAGGUAUAGACUGUGAUGUACCUAUACAUGUAAUAAUGUUAGCAUUGUAUAUAGAAUUACAACUUGGUCACACGGAUGUUUCGAAAUCUAUAAUAAAACAACAUUGUCCUCAGUAUCGUUAAUCAUUUUUUUAUUUGUACUUUAUAUAAUACCGUCUGUAAUCACAUCACCAUUUUAUGCGUAUCAAUAUGUAUAUAGAAAUGGAAAUGAUGACUACAUUUUAUUGUACAUAUAAACAAUAGUUGCAAUUUCUUGAUCUAUGUUAAAGGAUAAAUUAAAAAAAAGAAACUAAUCAAGAUUUUAAUUAUUCAGAUAUACCUGUGCAUAUAAGCACUUAUUUGUGUUUAUGUAAUAUUGUAAAAAAUAAUUCACAUAUACUAACACUUGUUUGACAAAAAUUAUUAGUUCAACUUUCAAUGCAUACUUCGGUUUUCUAUUUAAUGCAAUAACAAGUACACUUGGUACAAUUAUUACAUAAAUGUA